AACAUAAGGCAACUAGGGAUACAAGCAUCACAGAGUCACCACGUGACAGUAGGGCAAGGGGAACUUGGCUUCAAAAUCUAAGAAGAUAUAUUUAGAUGAGAUAUUAGGAAGAAAUUUUUCCUUGUGAGGAUGAUGAGGUUCUGGCACAGGCUGUCCAGAGAAGUUGUGGCUGUCCCAUCCCUGGAAGUGUCCAAGGCCAGGUUGGAUGGGGCCUGGAGGAAUCUGAUCUGGUGGAAGGAGUCCCUGGCCAUGGAGGGUUGGAACUCCUCAGUCUCUGAGGUCCCUUCCAACCAUUCUAGGGUUCCAUGGAAUGCUGCACACUCACAGCUCCAACUUGGUGCUUUGCAUCUUGGCAUUUCAGAGGCAUGGAGGAAAUCAUCCCAAGCAAUUCAUUCAGCCAUACAGUUGUCUUUCAUAUGAGCAGCUUGUGGGUGUCACCUACUAAUUCCCCAAGAUGCAACUUUAUAAAUGCACCAGGCAACAUCAGGACAACAGGCUCAUUCACAGGAGCUGUGCCACGCAUUGAGAUCCUUCAGCAGGGUCUGAAAAGGACAACAGAACGUCGUAAAAAAAUAGGAUGGAUUGAGUGCGUUCCACCCUGAAAGGCAGGAAAAAGCCUUCACAGCAUGUCUGAAAUUCAGCACCAUUUGAAGACAUCUAUUGGAAAAGCUUGUGUGAAAUCCUAUCAAUGUUUAAGAUUAUUGGGAGGUGGGAGAGAGGAGUUUUGGGCAUGUCUGAUGAUUCCAUAAACCUAUGGCAGUGUGACAAAAGAGGGGAUCAGCCACCAGGAUUAGUGUGGGGGUGACAGAAGGAAGGCAAAAUUAAAUGCAGAAAAAGGUCAAGUUUGAGGAUCUAAUACAACUCCCUCAGUGGAAAUGGUAAGAUCUGCAUGAAGCAAUUAAAGAAUUCAAGCAACUCUAGUUAUAAAAUACCUCAUCACUUAUCCACCCCUUCCCUUUAUUGCAAAAAAAACUUGGUUGAAUGAAUGUUUAUCAUGAAAAAAUUUCUCAGAAGAUAAAAGAAAUUACCCUAAACUUAGUUCUAACAAGAGCACAGAGAUGGGUAAAUGAUCAUCCUUAUAACUAUUACUAUGUGUAACCAGUGUUUGUAACUAAAAUUCCAAGACAAGUCAACAUAUUUGAAUUCAUUCUGACACCCUGGGAGAAGAGGCAAACCCCCAGCUCUGUUCAACUCCCUCUUUUAAGUAGUUUAAAUGUUCAGCUCAAACUCUCUGCACUUCCUCUGUAGGAUCUUAUAUAAAACUGAUGGCUAAUAGACUGUCUGUCCUGUUUAAAGGGAAAAAUAAUUAAGAAUUUGGCUUGAAAUUUAUUUAUCUGAGUGUGACCAAUACCUUUCAAUUUUACUACAGAAAGUCAAGGUCUUUUGGACUUUUGACCAUCAAUGAACAGCAAAUGCUGUGGUUGAGGAAAAUUUCCCUGGUUAGGAAAAAAAACCAGUAUAUGGUUUGAAAAACAAAUGUAUGGGCAGAUAAUGCUCAGGUAUGAAUAUUAUCCUCAGAGCAAUGAUAGCUAAAAUGUCAAAUUCCAGGUGAGUUUCCAUUGCACCAAUGGAGGACAAUAUGUGGAAUCCGUGUGAAUUAAAUAACUGUAUUCUGGAGAACAAUGUUCUCACUAAGGAAAUGCAGUAAAAAGUUGAAACUUCACAGAACCUGUAACAAUAGGAAUAAAGCACAAAUAUUAAGUAUAUUAAUAAUAACU
ensembl:lncRNA